ACGUUUAGUUGCUAACGCGUUGAAGGCGAGCACUCUAGACGAACUGCCGUUGACAAAACGGAGGAAGGUGGGGAUGACGUCAAAUCAUCAUGCCCCUUAUGUUCUGGGCUACACACGUGCUACAAUGGCGAGACAGAGGGCAGCUACCUGGGGACAGGAUGCGAAUCUCGAAAGCCGGUCUCAGUUCGGAUCGGAGUCUGCAACUCGACUCCGUGAAGCUGGAUUCGCUAGUAAUCGCGCAUCAGCCAUGGCCGCGGUCGAAUACGUUCCCGGGCCUU
rnacentral:rRNA from 1 species